rnacentral:rRNA from 1 species
AGCGAACGCUGGCGGCAGGCCUAACACAUGCAAGUCGAACGAACCUUUCGGGGUUAGUGGCGGACGGGUGAGUAACACGUGGGAACGUGCCUUUAGGUUCGGAAUAACUCAGGGAAACUUGUGCUAAUACCGAAUGUGCCCUUCGGGGGAAAGAUUAAUCGCCUUUAGAGCGGCCCGCGUCUGAUUAGCUAGUUGGUUGAGGUAAUGGCUCACCAAGGCGACGAUCAGUAGCUGGUCUGAGAGGAUGAUCAGCCACAUUGGGACUGAGACACGGCCCAAACUCCUACGGGAGGCAGCAGUGGGGAAUCUUGCGCAAUGGGCGAAAGCCUGACGCAGCCAUGCCGCGUGAAUGAUGAAGGUCUUAGGAUUGUAAAAUUCUUUCACCGGGGACGAUAAUGACGGUACCGGAGAAGAAGCCCCGGCUAACUUCGUG